rnacentral:rRNA from 1 species
CACUAUCGUUAACUGAAUACAUAGGUUAACGAGGCGAACCGGGGGAACUGAAACAUCUAAGUACCCCGAGGAAAAGAAAUCAACCGAGAUUCCCCCAGUAGCGGCGAGCGAACGGGGAGCAGCCCAGAGUCUGAAUCAGCUUGUGUGUUAGUGGAACGGUCUGGAAAGUCCGACGGUACAGGGUGAUAGUCCCGUACACCAAAAUGCACAGGUUGUGAACUCGAAGAGUAGGGCGGGACACGUGGUAUCCUGUCUGAAUAUGGGGGGACCAUCCUCCAAGGCUAAAUACUCCUGACUGACCGAUAGUGAACCAGUACCGUGAGGGAAAGGCGAAAAGAACCCCGGCGAGGGGAGUGAAAAAGAACCUGAAACCGUGUACGUACAAGCAGUGGGAGCACCUUCGGGUGUGACUGCGUACCUUUUGUAUAAUGGGUCAGCGACUUAUAUUCUGUAGCAAGGUUAACCGUAUAGGGGAGCCGCAGGGAAACCGAGUCUUAACUGGGCGUUAAGUUGCAGGGUAUAGACCCGAAACCCGGUGAUCUAGCCAUGGGCAGGUUGAAGGUUGGGUAACACUAACUGGAGGACCGAACCGACUAAUGUUGAAAAAUUAGCGGAUGACUUGUGGCUGGGGGUGAAAGGCCAAUCAAACCGGGAGAUAGCUGGUUCUCCCCGAAAGCUAUUUAGGUAGCGCCUCGUGAAUUCAUCUUCGGGGGUAGAGCACUGUUUCGGCUAGGGGGUCAUCCCGACUUACCAACCCGAUGCAAACUACGAAUACCGAAGAAUGUUAUCACGGGAGACACACGGCGGGUGCUAACGUCCGUCGUGAAGAGGGAAACAACCCAGACCGCCAGCUAAGGUCCCAAAGUCAUGGUUAAGUGGGAAACGAUGUGGGAAGGCACAGACAGCCAGGAUGUUGGCUUAGAAGCAGCCAUCAUUUAAAGAAAGCGUAAUAGCUCACUGGUCGAGUCGGCCUGCGCGGAAGAUGUAACGGGGCUAAACCAUGCACCGAAGCUGCGGCAGCGACACGAUGUGUUGUUGGGUAGGGGAGCGUUCUGUAAGCCUGCGAAGGUGUGCUGUGAGGCAUGCUGGAGGUAUCAGAAGUGCGAAUGCUGACAUAAGUAACGAUAAAGCGGGUGAAAAGCCCGCUCGCCGGAAGACCAAGGGUUCCUGUCCAACGUUAAUCGGGGCAGGGUGAGUCGACCCCUAAGGCGAGGCCGAAAGGCGUAGUCGAUGGGAAACAGGUUAAUAUUCCUGUACUUGGUGUUACUGCGAAGGGGGGACGGAGAAGGCUAUGUUAGCCGGGCGACGGUUGUCCCGGUUUAAGCAUGUAGGCUGGUUGUCCAGGCAAAUCCGGAUAAUCAAGGCUGAGGUGUGAUGACGAGGCACUACGGUGCUGAAGUAACAAAUGCCCUGCUUCCAGGAAAAGCCUCUAAGCAUCAGGUAACAUCAAAUCGUACCCCAAACCGACACAGGUGGUCAGGUAGAGAAUACCAAGGCGCUUGAGAGAACUCGGGUGAAGGAACUAGGCAAAAUGGUGCCGUAACUUCGGGAGAAGGCACGCUGGUGUGUAGGUGAAGUCCCUGCGGAUGGAGCUGAGACCAGUCGAAGAUACCAGCUGGCUGCAACUGUUUAUUAAAAACACAGCACUGUGCAAACACGAAAGUGGACGUAUACGGUGUGACGCCUGCCCGGUGCCGGAAGGUUAAUUGAUGGGGUUAUCCGUAAGGAGAAGCUCUUGAUCGAAGCCCCGGUAAACGGCGGCCGUAACUAUAACGGUCCUAAGGUAGCGAAAUUCCUUGUCGGGUAAGUUCCGACCUGCACGAAUGGCGUAAUGAUGGCCAGGCUGUCUCCACCCGAGACUCAGUGAAAUUGAACUCGCUGUGAAGAUGCAGUGUACCCGCGGCAAGACGGAAAGACCCCGUGAACCUUUACUAUAGCUUGACACUGAACAUUGAGCCUUGAUGUGUAGGAUAGGUGGGAGGCUUUGAAGCGUGGACGCCAGUCUGCGUGGAGCCAACCUUGAAAUACCACCCUUUAAUGUUUGAUGUUCUAACGUUGGCCCCUGACCGGGGUUGCGGACAGUGUCUGGUGGGUAGUUUGACUGGGGCGGUCUCCUCCCAAAGCGUAACGGAGGAGCACGAAGGUUAGCUAAUCCUGGUCGGACAUCAGGAGGUUAGUGCAAUGGCAUAAGCUAGCUUGACUGCGAGCGUGACGGCGCGAGCAGGUGCGAAAGCAGGUCAUAGUGAUCCGGUGGUUCUGAAUGGAAGGGCCAUCGCUCAACGGAUAAAAGGUACUCCGGGGAUAACAGGCUGAUACCGCCCAAGAGUUCAUAUCGACGGCGGUGUUUGGCACCUCGAUGUCGGCUCAUCACAUCCUGGGGCUGAAGUAGGUCCCAAGGGUAUGGCUGUUCGCCAUUUAAAGUGGUACGCGAGCUGGGUUUAGAACGUCGUGAGACAGUUCGGUCCCUAUCUGCCGUGGGCGCUGGAGAAUUGAGGGGGGCUGCUCCUAGUACGAGAGGACCGGAGUGGACGCAUCACUGGUGUUCGGGUUGUCAUGCCAAUGGCACUGCCCGGUAGCUAAAUGCGGAAGAGAUAAGUGCUGAAAGCAUCUAAGCACGAAACUUGCCCCGAGAUGAGUUCUCCCUGAGACUUUAAGUCUCCUGAAGGAACGUUAAAGACGAUGACGUUGAUAGGCCGGGUGUGUAAGCGCAGCGAUGCGUUGAGCUAACCGGUACUAAUGAACCGUGAGGCUUAACCUU